UACGGAGGGUGCGAGCGUUGUCCGGAAUCACUGGGCGUAAAGGGCGCGUAGGUGGCGCGAGGAGUCUGUGGUGAAAGCCCGAGGCUCAACUUCGGGUCGGCCGCGGAUACUCUCGUGCUGGAGGGUGGUAGAGGCCAAUGGAAUUCCGGGUGUAGCGGUGGAAUGCGUAGAGAUCCGGAAGAACACCGGUGGCGAAGGCGGCCCGCUGGGCUGUUGCUGACGCUGAGGCGCGACAGCGUGGGGAGCAAACAGG
rnacentral:rRNA from 1 species